rfam:Solanum tuberosum cultivar DM 1-3 516 R44 scf00034_8, whole genome shotgun sequence.
AUUUAGUGCAUCGUGAUGCCCUUUUUAAUUUUAUUGUCUAUUGUGCAAUUAUUCUUUCGCCUUUUAUUAAAGAAUAUUGUGUGCUCGCUGCAAUCACUGACAUAUGCCAAUUUUUGGAGGGGUUCUCUUCAUUGAGUGCC